rnacentral:rRNA from 1 species
UACGGGGGGGGCAAGCGUUGUUCGGAAUUACUGGGCGUAAAGGGCUCGUAGGUGGCCAACUAAGUCAGACGUGAAAUCCCUCGGCUUAACCGGGGAACUGCGUCUGAUACUGGAUGGCUUGAGUUCGGGAGAGGGAUGCGGAAUUCCAGGUGUAGCGGUGAAAUGCGUAGAUAUCAGGAGGAACACCGGUGGCGAAGGCGGUUCUCUGGGCAACAACUGACGCUGAGGAGCGAAAGCGUGGGGAGCGAACAGG